rnacentral:rRNA from 1 species
GACGAACCGAGCGAACGUUAUUCGGAAUCACUGGGCUUAAAGGGCGCGUAGGCGGGCCGUCAAGUCAGGGGUGAAAGCCCCCAGCUCAACUGGGGAAGUGCCUCUGAUACUGGCGGCCUCGAGCGAGGUAGGGGCGUGCGGAACUUCCGGUGGAGCGGUGAAAUGCGUAGAGAUCGGAAAGAACACCAACGGCGAAAGCACUCUGCUGGGCCGACACUGACACUGAGAGACGAAAGCUAGGGGAGCGAAUGGG